GCCGUUCUGCACUAGUUGCGCGCAUCUGUCAGGGUUCUCUCCACCUUUUUUUUUGAUGGGGAGUGCGGCGCGUUUGUUGUGGUUUGUUUUGCACCUCGCGGAAUGGGCUCUCUCGACUCAACUUCGCAUCUGCAGCAUGGCCGAGACCAUGGCCUCUCUGUAGCAGAUCCAGUGGAGCGCUUUGCGCAAGCACUCGAACAGUUUGUGUGGCAGGCAGCCACGUCUUCACUCCAUAACAAUCAAGCAAUGAAUGCGCAUCUCAGUAACCGUCUGCCUUGCAGCAUACCGUCUUGCCGCUGCAGCAGAACGUCCGUGAGCUGCAUGCAAAUAGCGCACUCACUGCAGAGUGCUUUGAGAGCGGUAGCACCGUGCACUUGCGGCCCGCGUGGUGACAGCGUGACAGAAGCCGGGCUGUAUCUUCUCCGUCUCACUUGUGUGUUAGAGCAGCGAGUUUUGGAAGCCAUGCAGCACGACAUGGAGAACUCCAUGGAAAACGAAGCAACGCUGCCAUUACGUGAGGUCCAAGCAGCGGUGGCGAGUAGCAGCCCAGGGGUGGGAAAGCAGUACUCUGACACAAGCACCAUCCGCUGCCGAGGACGGUGUUACACAGUUCCGGAGACGUCCCUCUCUAUGCCGUCCUCCACGCAGUCCGUCGACGCUCUGCAGACAAAGCCAACGACAAGCCCCUCGCCUACGGAAGGGGAGACCGUGUGCGAUCUUGUGCGCUACCACGCUGAGCUGACGCUGGGGCUGCAGCAGAGCAUGCUUUGGUUUAUAUCUCAACUCGACUCCAGCCUUCUGACCUCUUCCCAGGAGGAUGGCGGGGUCUGCGGUGUUUUGACUCAUCCACGCGCUGCGCAGCUACAAUGGAUGUUUCUCGACGCCGUCGUGCAAUUCGUCACGCACCUCCAACAGCGGUGGAGCGAGGGUACAGCCUCUACCGGAUCUGUUGAGGCGGUUGGCGAGGCGUCUGUGGUGCUGAAUCGGCUUGCGCAGGCUGCACAGGAGCUCCGGCACCCCUCACACUCCCGACAGCUGCAGGUGUUUGAGCUUUCUGAAAGGGGGAUAGCACGCCGGAGUCCGCCACCGUUCGCCUCGUGGCGGUCUGACUCAUCUGCGAUGCGUGCUUUUGGAGGCACAAGCCCACUACUGUGCAACACCUCUCCUCGAGCGGCGACAAGCGCGCCAAAUGCAAUCAACGAGUGCCUGGGUGUUGCCGGCGCCGACUACUCUGCAAAGCUCAUCGCUCAGCAGCUUUGGUGUGCCCAGCAGCUGCUGUCUCAGCGUUUUCCAGGGUACGCUGCCACGUGGGAGGUUCUCGAGGGGGCUCGUUUUUUUGUAGAGUCGGCCCGCAGCCCCACGCCAACGGUGCCCCGCAGCGACAGUUCCCAGCAGGUCGCUACACAGGUAGCGGCGCCAUCGCCGGUAACUGUCGUCGAUCUCAACUGCACGCAGUCCAGUUCGCAUGGCGGGUGCACACCACCACCGUGCGUUGUUGAAACGCAGCGAAAGUGUGAGCGACCACACGACCUACAGCGAGAGCUGAGACUCCCUUCCAGAGGUCUGACGUUCAUUGAGGAACAGGCAGCGGACGUGACCGAUGAUGCUUCCACUGCAAUGAAAGGCGCCACAGCUUCCAGGAAUGGCUUCCUCACUGAAUCGCCUGGUGCCCCGCCGACACCUCCGGCGCCACCUUUAUUACUACCAGUCGCCCGGUGCGCUCUGUGGGACAACUUCUUAGCAUCGAAAAGCUUCCCACCAUCCGCGCUGCUGCUUGCGAUCCGGAAUCUGGCAGCCGGCACAAUCUCAUUGCAGCCAGAAGACAUUGUUCAGCAUGCAUAGUCGGGGCAUUCCUCUGUGAGGUUUCAGCGAGCAGGCCAGCAGUAAAGCCAUCACAGAAGGAUCUUCUUCGUGAUUAACGCAGUGAGUCGGAGCCGUGCCGUAAGAUGGUCGGUGCGCUUGGCUCCGCAUUUGUCCACGGCGACGCUCACAGCAGCCGACACUGAAGAGCGCGACUGUUGAUACUUUUAGUGUUCAAUCACGAAGGGAGCAUAGCCCAAAGCACGCCGCCUUGCACCAGUGGCGGCUUCUAAAGGUAAUGUUGAAACGUUUUGUGUUGGUCCUGCCAGGCAGUGCAGACAUUGUUGACUGACCACUGUCUGAUAGAUUGUCCUCAUCCAAUUCGUCUCCCUUACGCAUAACCAGACACCUCUCGCUUCUCUUCCCGUCCUUUAUUAUUAUUUGUUUUUCCUCUUGCUCCACCCACCAUGUCUUGCGCAUACUCACCCCUCCCCUUAUCCACGUACGAGUGCUCUGUGCACCGUGUGUGUGAGAUAACAGGAACUGAGCUGAACAGCAAGUAAGGAUGACGGGCUCAGAAGGGAAAGGGAGCAUUGGCUUUGGUUGAUAGUUUCUCCCGUUUUGCGUUUUGUUUCAUUAGAUGCUGCUCCUGUUUUCUCCGCUUCACCUUCCACGCUCUCCGCUCUUGCUUCGGCUACAGUAUAGACCGAUCAACAUUCUUGCGUGAGAGUGCAAGAGGGAGGGGGGCUAAUGCACCGGAUCUCUCAUCGUCACAACAUCACCUCUUUCUAUUCCUCUCGCAUGGGUGUGCAUUUCUUCUUUUGCUUCACUUUGUGCUCCC
rnacentral:misc_RNA from 1 species